rnacentral:rRNA from 1 species
CCUACGUGAGGCAGCAGUGGGGAAUAUUGCACAAUGGGGGGAACCCUGAUGCAGCGACGCCGCGUGGGUGAGGAAGUACUUCGGUAUGUAAAGCCCUAUCAGCAGGGAAGAAAAUGACGGUACCUGACUAAUACGCCCCGGCUAACUACGUGCCAGCAGCCGCGGUACUACGUAGGGGGCAAGCGUUGUCCGGAUUUACUGGGUGGAAAGGGAGCGUAGACGGCGUGCCAAGUCCGAUGUGAAAGGCCGGGGCUCAACCCCGGGAAUGCAUUGGAAAACGGCAGGCUGGAGUGCAGGAGGGGAGAGCGGAAUUCCUAGUGUAGCGGUGAAAUGCGUAGAUAUUAGGAGGAACACCGGUGGCGAAGGCGGCUUGCUGGACUGUAACUGACGUUGAGGCUCGAAAGCGUGGGGAGCAAACAGGAUUAGAUACCCGUGUAGUC